rnacentral:ncRNA from 2 species
GCAGUCGGUCGCGACUGGCGUUGAGGUGGGUACCACCGGGGAGCGACUGCAGAAACCGGACAUCGGGACCGUUCGCCUGGGCCCCACGU